rnacentral:tRNA from 1 species
AGGGGUGUAGCUCAGCUGGUAGAGCGGCGGUCUCCAAAACCGCAGGUCGGGGGUUCGAGACCCUCCGCCCCUGCCA